rnacentral:lncRNA from 1 species
CCAUGGACAGAGGAGCCUGGCAGGCUACAGUCCAUAAGGUCGCAAAGAGUCGGAGACCACUGAACGACCAACACCUUAAGAGACACUAGGAGACUGGAGAACUUGUCUUUUUAGGGUGGUAAAUCUGAAAACAGAUUUGAAUGAAUAAAUGAAUGCGUCUUUGGGUCGGCGCCGCCCUCUAGAUCUGUUCUGCCCUCAAGUGCCCCCCACGCGGUUGAUGAAAUGGACCCCCACUCUGGGGCCAGCUGCAUCUCAGUCUGUACGGCGGUGGGGAGGUCCCCAGCAUCCGCGCGGUGCGUCUUUGGGCCCGAGGACCAGCUGGCUCGGCAUAGCCCAGGCCGAUCUCGGGACGAGAAGCUGGGGUAAGCGGUGGAGGAUCCCUCCUGGGUCCACUGCGUGGGCGACGUGCCGGUGCAAGCGCCGCCUCAUCCGGGGAAGGUCGAUCGAGGCCGCGCCACGCUGGACUGGGGGUGGAUGCGAAUGCACCUUCGGAUGCUCUGGUCCCCAGCCCUUCCGGACCGAGGUUCCCCUCACUCCGCGGGAAUCGGGGACCGCGGGAGCUGGGGUGGCUGAAAGAACAGGGUAGCCUCCUUGGCAAAGACCGCGGGGGAGGAGACUCCCUGGCGAGGGAAGCGAGCGCUGCCGAGGCCGCCGGUCCCUUUAAGAGGCCGGGCUGGCUCUGCGGCGAUCCCACCUGACCGCCUGCCUGGUGCAGUUCUGCGGGCCGUGUCCCCGGGAGAAGGAUCGGAGCCGGGCCGGGCCACAGGACCCGGCGCAGGGGAGGGAGGGGUCCAGUCCGGAGCUGGGCGGGGCCUCCGGUUCCCGGAGCGCCGCA